UGCGCCACCCAGGCGCCCCCAGGUGAUGCUACUUUUACGCUAGGUCACCACAGCUACAUUCUGAACAUCACUGAGCCUCAGGAGUCCUUACUUAUAGAACAGAAAAUAUGGACUCGCUACCUUGCAGGAUGAUUGUGGAGAUAAAAUGAAAUCGGGUAAUUUCAGGAAGAUUUGUUCCAGCUAAUCUGUAGACAAGGAAACUGAAGUUUAAAGAGAAAAUGUAUCCUUGGUCUUUGAAAACCCUGUGAUCCUGCCCCCAAGGAGACGGACCCAAUCUUAGGGGGUUCCUCUGAUUGUCAUCUAAGAUUCUAGCAGGCUGUCGCCCACCGCCUGGCUCGCUGUUACUGACAAUCGCUACCUCGGAAAGUCUUCUCUGGGAAAACGGCAUUUGGGAAGAGGCGUUAAGGGAAUUGCGGAAGACAAGCCCUGGGGAUGAUAACCACAGGAGGAGUGUUCCAAAAGGAUCAGCACAUACCAGGCUCGGAAGCAGGUGCAUGCUAAGACCUGGAGCGACAGCAGGUCCCAGAUGAGGGAAAACAUCUCCAACAACAAGUCUUCCAUUUACCUAUUGGCCAGCACUGUUGGUUCUUAUCCAAAUACAUUUUUAGGCUCAACUGGGAUCAAAUAUUCAUUUCCAUUUAAGGCAACGGGGAGCCACACAUGUGAGAAAACAACAUGAAAGCCAGCCUGGACCCCAAAAUACAAGGCCCCAUGUAAGAGAGAAUCAGGAAGACAUAAUAAAGAAUCAGAGUGUUUCAACAGUGGAAACUGGGCUAAACGAUGGAAGGUGUGCUCUGUAUUUUCCAAAGCACCCUUGUUGGCAAACACGGAGAGAAGUUUGAGAGUGAACAGCUGUCACCAGGGCCCCAGGCAACGCUGCAGAGAAGGUCAAGCUUGCAUUUUGCAUUCCAACCUGCCUCUUUCUUUCUGAGUCCACUUUUCACCCCAGUUAUUGGACUCUAGCUAUUGAAUUUCCUCGUGCUGUCAUUUGGCUUCUAAAUCUUUCCCCUCCCUGACUGUUCUACUGCUCUGCACAGAGAUUUAUCUUGUUUCCUUCUCAUUCAGCUAGAGUUCCAAUCCCCCGGGUUCUCAUGGUAGCCCAAGUGAUUAAAAACACUUCUAUCAAAGUUUCAAUAAGGCCUAAAGAGCUUUUGCAGUUUGAAAAAAAUGGUCCAGUGUCUUACCUGGUCUUCUAGGACCUUAAAUGCAUGGAAUUAAAAUUGAGAUCUCAGAUACGUUCUUUUUGCAUGCACACAUGCACAGAGCACACCAUUCCACACUCCCUCCCCCCCCCCCCAUUUCCCUGGAAGGUUACCCUGCAAGGUAAGAGGCAGCAAACAAAACCUUACGUUGGUAGAAAUCCUAACUGAGCAGCCUCACUCAUAUCCUGAUAUUCACGGGUUUGCAGGGAUAAUCUUUGGUAUUUUUCUAAC